UCUCUCUGAAGCAGGCAGCAGUAAAGGAAGAAAGCCCAGUUAGUCUUCUUCAGGCAAAUAACAUCAGCACAGAGACACGUCAUUUGAAGGAUGCAGCUUAAUUUCUGACAGGAACCUUGGCCAUCUUGACUGAAGUAAUAAUUUGAGUAUUUCUGCAGCUAAAAAUGAGAAAGCUCUGGAAGAAAUUGCUGAAAUGUGCCUGUCUCCUAGAAUUUAUGGUGAUUACGGUGAUCUGCCAAGAAACAUACAGGCUAAUGGAAUUAAAGGCUUGGAGAGAGCCCAACAAUUCUGGAAGAUGAUUUAUUACAGAAUGAAACAAAUAUUAAAGAUCAAAUUCUU